GGCUGUGAGGGUGAUCUGACUGUGACAUCUGCCACCCCAUUGAUCGCCAGGGUUGAUUUGGCCGAUCUUACUGGUUAAGCAAGUGUCCCCUUCCUCCCUCACCCCUCCAUGCGUGUCCCUCCUGAAACUGAGUGCUCAAUUGAAGAGGACACCCAUCCCCGCUAGAGAAGAACCAUUCGCUUCCCCCUACCAGAAUCUCCAGAAACAGCUCGAGGUUCAGACACUCUGUGGGAAGGCUGGAGAACGAACACAGCACCUCUGAAGAUGUGGAGACUAC
ensembl:misc_RNA 7SK 7SK RNA